rfam:Podiceps cristatus contig120412, whole genome shotgun sequence.
ACUAUAGCUUUUAUAAAAGCUACAAAUAUAUACAUUUAGAAAAUA